rnacentral:rRNA from 1 species
CCUACGGGUGGCAGCAGUGGGGAAUAUUGCACAAUGGGGGAAACCCUGAUGCAGCGACGCCGCGUGAGUGAAGAAGUAAUUCGUUAUGUAAAGCUCUAUCAGCAGGGAAGAAAAUGACGGUACCUGAGUAAGAAGCCCCGACUAACUACGGGCCAGCAGCCGCGGUAAUACGUAGGGGGCAAGCGUUAUCCGGAUUUACUGGGUGUAAAGGGAGCGUAGACGGCAGUGCAAGUCUGGAGUGAAAGGUGGGGGCUCAACCCCCGGACUGCUCUGGAAACUGUACGGCUUGAGUGCAGGAAAGGUAAGUGGAAUUCGUGGUGUAGCGGUGAAAUGCGUAGAUAUUAGGAGGAACCCCAGUGGCGAAGGCAGCUUACUGGACUGUAACUGACGUUGAUGCUCGAAAGCGUGGGUAGCGAACAGGAUUAGAUACCCCAGUAGUC